CGGACGGGUGAGUAAUGUCUGGGAAACUGCCUGAUGGAGGGGGAUAACUACUGGAAACGGUAGCUAAUACCGCAUAACGUCUUCGGACCAAAGUGGGGGACCUUCGGGCCUCACGCCAUCGGAUGUGCCCAGGUGGGAUUAGCUAGUAGGUGGGGUAAUGGCUCACCUAGGCGACGAUCCCUAGCUGGUCUGAGAGGAUGACCAGCCACACUGGAACUGAGACACGGUCCAG
rnacentral:rRNA from 1 species